rnacentral:rRNA from 1 species
ACGCUUGACCUCAAAUCAGGUAGGACUACCCGCUGAACUUAAGCAUAUCAAUAAGCGGAGGAAAAGAAACUAACAAGGAUUCCCCUAGUAACUGCGAGUGAAGCGGGAAAAGCUCAAAUUUAAAAUCUGGCGGUCUCUGGCCGUCCGAGUUGUAAUCUAGAGAAGUAAUGCCCGUGCUGGACCGUGUAUAAGUCUCCUGGGAUGGGGCGUCAUAGAGGGUGAGAAUCCCGUCUUUGACACGGACUACCAGUGCAUUGUGGUAUGCUCUCAAAGAGUCGAGUUGUUUGGGAAUGCAGCUCAAAAUGGGUGGUAAAUUCCAUCUAAAGCUAAAUAUUGGCGAGAGACCGAUAGCGAACAAGUACCGUGAGGGAAAGAUGAAAAGAACUUUGGAAAGAGAGUUAAACAGUACGUGAAAUUGCUGAAAGGGAAACGCUUGAAGUCAGUCGCGUUGGCCGGGGAUCAGCCUUGCUUUUGCAUGGUGUACUUUCUGGUUGACGGGUCAGCAUCAAUUUUGACCGCUGGAAAAAGACCUGGGGAAUGUGGCAGCUUCGGCUGUGUUAUAGCCCCUAGUCGCAUACAGUGGUUGGGAUUGAGGAACUCAGCACGCCGCAAGGCCGGGUUUCGACCACGUUCGUGCUUAGGAUGCUGGCAUAAUGGC